rnacentral:rRNA from 1 species
AUGGCAUCACAUCCUGACGAACAGUCUCCUACAAGUGUCGGAACUAGGGUUGAUGUCGCAGAUGAUCUUGGGGAUUUCUUCGACCAGCUUGAUCUGGAUGGAGAGGAGUUUGAUGAUCUGGAAGUUGAUGCUGAUGAUACGGUUCUGAACAAGAGUGUGCGUUGGCUGGCACUAGCGAGGGUUCAUACCGACAAGAAUUUCAAUCAGACCGCCUUCUUCAAAGAUAUGCGUGCGGCAUGGAACCCUACAGAGAAGGUGCGCUUUCGGCCAGUUGGCCCGAACCUGUUUGUGGUGCAAGCAUCGUGUCUUGGCGAUUGGGAGCGUAUCAUGGAGAGAGGGCCAUGGAUUUUCAGGAACUGGGCAGUGCUCCUUACUCCCUAUGAUGAUUUUAUGAAAGAUGAUGAAAUUGAGAUAGUUUACAUGCCUAUAUGGCUCCAAAUCCAUAAACUCCCAGAUGGCUACUGCAAGAAGGAGAUAGUGGAAAAGUCGAUAAAGAAUGCAGGCAAGGUACUGGAGUUAAGGCUCAACGGAAAUUCUCGUGGUGAUUACAUGCAAGUGUGUGUUUGA